rnacentral:rRNA from 1 species
UACGGGGGGGGCAAGCGUUGUUCGGAAUUACUGGGCGUAAAGGGCUUGUAGGCGGCCAACUAAGUCAGACGUGAAAUCCCUCGGCUUAACCGGGGAACUGCGUCUGAUACUGGAUGGCUUGAGUUCGGGAGAGGGAUGCGGAAUUCCAGGUGUAGCGGUGAAAUGCGUAGAUAUCUGGAGGAACACCGGUGGCGAAGGCGGCGACCUGGUUCAUUACUGACGCUGAGGCACGAAAGCUAGGGUAGCGAACGGG